GUGUCAGCAGCCGCGGUAAUACGGAGGAUGCAAGCGUUAUCCGGAUUCAUUGGGUUUAAAGGGUGCGUAGGCGGCCUUUUAAGUCAGUGGUGAAAUCCUGCCGCUUAACGGUAGAAUUGCCAUUGAUACUGAAAGGCUUGAGUUCAGUUGAGGUAAGCGGAAUGUGUAGUGUAGCGGUGAAAUGCUUAGAUAUUACACAGAACACCAAUUGCGAAGGCAGCUUACUAAACUGACACUGACGCUGAUGCACGAAAGCGUGGGGAGCGAACAGGAUUAGAUACCCCCGUAGUCC
rnacentral:rRNA from 1 species